UCGUUUGGGGAUGAGUCUGCGUCCUAUUAGUUAGUUGGUGAGGUAAUGGCUCACCAAGGCGAUGAUAGGUAGGCGGCCUUAACGGGUGGUCGCCCACACUGGAACUGAGACACGGUCCAGACUCCUACGGGAGGCAGCAGUGAGGAAUAUUGGUCAAUGGGCGCUAGCCUGAACCAGCCAAGUCGCGUGAAGGAAGACAGAUCUAUGGUUUGUAAACUUCUUUUGCAGGGGAGUAAAGUGCGACACGUGUGUUGUAUUGCAAGUACCCUGUGAAUAAGCAUCGGCUAACUCCGUGCCAGCAGCCGCGGUAAUACGGAGGAUGCAAGCGUUAUCCGGAUUUAUUGGGUUUAAAGGGUGCGUAGGCGGGUUAUCAAGUCAGCGGUGAAAUUUUUCGGCUUAACCGUAAAAUUGCCGUUGAAACUGGUGAUCUUGAGUGCGAGCGAGGUAGGCGGAAUGUGCCGUGUAGCGGUGAAAUGCAUAGAUAUGGCACAGAACUCCGAUUGCGAAGGCAGCUUACUAGUACGCUACUGACGCUGAUGCACGAAGGCGUGGGGAUCAAACAGGAUUAGAUACCCUGGUAGUCCACGCAGUAAACGAUGAUUACUAGCUGUUUGCGAUAUACCGUAAGCGGCCGAGCGAAAGCAUUAAGUAAUCCACCUGGGGAGUACGUUCGCAAGAAUGAAACUCAAAGGAAUAGACGGGGGCCCGCACAAGCGGAGGAACAUGUGGUUUAAUUCGAUGAUACGCGAGGAACCUUACCCGGGCUUGAAAUGCAUCUGACCGAAGUGGAAACACUUUUUCUAGCAAUAGCAGAUGUGUAGGUGCUGCAUGGUUGUCGUCAGCUCGUGCCGUGAGGUGUCGGCUUAAGUGCCAUAACGAGCGCAACCCCCGCCGUUAGUUGCCAUCAGGUUAUGCUGGGAACUCUAGCGGGACUGCCACCGUAAGGUGUGAGGAAGGUGGGGAUGACGUCAAAUCAGCACGGCCCUUAUGUCCGGGGCGACACACGUGUUACAAUGGGCGGUACAGAGGGAAGCUACCCGGUGACGGGAUGCUAAUCUUUAAAACCGUUCUCAGUUCGGAUCGGAGUCUGUAACUCGACUCCGUGAAGCUGGAUUCGCUAGUAAUCGCGCAUCAGCCAUGGCGCGGUGAAUAAGUUCCCGGGCCUUGUACUCACCGCC
rnacentral:rRNA from 1 species